CCCGACCCACCGCCACACUCCCCGCAAACCCAAAUCCAUGCACCUAAGAGUGAAUAUUAAGGAACACAUGGUUUGCCCAAUAAAUUUGGUUAGGCUCAUGGACAUUGAAAAAGUAACCAAGAAAAAGACAAACUCCAAAAAGAAAAAUCUGAUAAUGCAAACUGUGUUGAAGCCUUGAUCUUGAGGAUGUGCUGUCCCUACCGCUCAUCUCAGCUACAAGGCUUUACUUCUUUGUUUUCAAUCUUGUGGAGGAAGAGAAUAUGAACCCACAACACUGAAAGUGACAUUUGAAAAGAGAAAGUUUUCAUUUUUACAGGUUUGAAGUUACACAGUGGUGGGGGAGGAAGCCCCACAGCUCAUAACAUUAUUAGCAGAAAUUAACCAUCUGGAAUUCUGGGUUUCCUUUUUGCUUGCUCCUUUUGGUCUCUCUGCAUUCCAGGUUGGAGUUUAACCACUAAAGUUAGAACCUUUGAGUUUUUUUCUCUUAAAUUUUAAAGAAAGUUUCAAUUUUUAGCUUGAAUUUUAUGUUGCUUUGAGAGUUUGGUCUUGAAUUUGUGUUUUUUUUUCAUGUACGAGUUUUGGGUUUUGAUUUUUGGGUUCCUAUUUGGAAUAUGUGAAAAUGGGUUUGCUUUUUUUUUUUUCAUGAUGAGGUACCGAAGGGCCAAGCAAAUUGCAAAGGUUUGAAUGUUGGUUUUGUUUCAUCUCAUUUAUUCAUAUCAAAGAUUUCUAGUGUUGUUCUACAGAUUUUAGAGGAAAGUUGGUCAUGAUAGAGUCAAGGAUUUGGAGCAAAUCUACUGUGCUUGAAAUCUGGAAUUGGACAGAAACUACUAUAGUUUGGGACUUUGGGAUCUUACAGCUCUUGCAAUUUUGGGGUGUGAAAAAGAUGAAGAAGUGAUGAAGAUGAAAGUGUAUUUCUGUAAUCAUUUGAAAUCACCUAGGGUGUGAAGGUAUGAAGAAGAUGAAGAAGUGAUGAAGAUGAAUGUGUAUUUCUCUAUUUCGAUGUGAUUUGAAGAUGGAGAAGAUCUGGAUUUGAUGAAAGAUAAAAUUAGAAAUUAUGUGUUUUUGUUUUAUUUUUUAAUUAAUAAGAGAAAGAAUGUUACAUUUCUACCCUUUUUCAUCCAUUCAAUCCUAACCGUUCAAUUAAAGAAUAUUCUAAGAUUCCUUAAUCUAACGGUGCUUAAACAUAGUGCAUCGGUGGACCAAAAAAAAAAACUUGUCCACCCUAGUGGGCACCUGAAAACAUAGUUUCUCUGAAAAUUCCUCUCAUGGGCAACAUCGUCGCCACUGUUGCCGCCGCUCUUACGCCUUUGAACUCGCCGUCGAUCCUGCUCCACUGUUGCCUCUUGCGCUUCUUUCUUCGUUAUCGUAAAUUUUCCCCUUCCCUCUCUAUAUUCGCACAUCUCUGUAUCUCACCCCGAACCCUCACCGUUCUUGCACCCAAACCCUAACCCACACCAUCCUCCAUUCAUCUGGUCGCCGAGCAGUGACAAGACGAAGUUGCGAAACCCUCACCGUGCGAAACCCUUAAUCUCUCCCUUUCUCUUCAACUAAUUUUAUACAUGAUUCUUCCAAAUCGAAAGGACAUGAAAUGGACCAGAAUUGGGACGGCAGUUCAUUAUAGAAACCGAAAGCAUGUUUUUGAAAGAGUAGGCGCGAGAAGCCUAGCUUCUGCACCAAAUUAGCCUGUAUCAUUAAGCAUGGAGGUGGACAGGUGUUCAAACCUCUUCAAUGGUUAGUACGGAGCACUGAUGAACAUAGGACUUCGGUUGGAGUUAUUGUCAUUGAAGAUAAGGCUACAAUAUCACGUCAUCUGAAGCACUGCGCUCUGGAGCGGGCUAUUCCUACUAUGGUAAGUAGUAAGUACACAACUUACAUUUUACUUUUAUUAUAGGUGCUCAGUAUAUGUGCCUUGUGAAAGAAGAAAGUUAUUGAUUCUGCAUCAACAUGCUCAAGCAUCUACCAUAUUUGUUUGUCAAGUUAUAGAAGGUGGGAGAUGAGGGGAGUUAAUAAUACUCUUCAAUCUUUACACUGAUAUUCAAAGAUUUAAUUCCUCUCAUGCUCUCAAAUAAUAUGCUUGCUCUCUAUCUCUCUCUUUGUGGGUGUUUCAGUGUAAUCCGAAGUGUGUAUUGAUUAUCUUUUGCAGCCUUGUAGCUGGAUCAUUGAGAGCUUAUAUUUAGGAAAGUUGAUUCAUUUAUUGCUUAUUGUGUUUGUGUGUUAACAUAGAUG